UAAGGUCUAACCUGCCCAAUGAGGAUUUAAAUGGCCGCAGUAUUUUGACUGUGCAAAGGUAGCAUAAUUAUUAGUUUUUUAAUUGAAAGCUUGUAUGAAGGGUUGGACGAAAUAAAAUCUGUCUCUAUUUAAUUCGAAGUAGAAUUUAACUUUUGAGUCAAAAGGCUCAAAUAACUAUAAAAGACGAGAAGACCCUAUAGAUCUUUAUUUAAUUAAUACUUUAAUAAUUUAGGAUUUAUUUAGUUUAAAGUUUUGAUUAAAUUUUAUUGGGGUAAUAUAAAGAUUAAAUAAAUUCUUUUUAUUUAUUACAUUAAUUUAUGAAUUUGUGAUCCAAUAUUAUUGAUUAUAAGAUUAAGUUACCUUAGGGAUAACAGCGUAAUUUUUUUGGAGAGCUCAUAUCGAUAAAAAAGUUUGCGACCUCGAUGUUGGAUUAAAAGUUAGCUUGGGUGCAGAAGCUCAAGAUUUUGGUCUGUUCGACCAUUAAAUUUUUACAUGAUCUGAGUUCAGACCGGCGUAAGCCAGGUCGGUUUCUAUCUUUAUUUAGUUAAAAUAUUUUAGUACGAAAGGACCAAAUAUUUAAUAUAUUUAUAUUUAAUUUUUGAACAAUAUUAUUACUUUGGCAGACUAGUGCAAUGAAUUUAGAAUUCAUGAAUGUAAUUAUAUUACAAGUAAUACUUGUAUUUAGGAGAUUUAUUUUCAAUGGUACUUUGUAUAUUAAUUCUCGUGAUUUGUGUAUUAGUUGGGGUUGCUUUUUUAACGUUAUUAGAGCGAAGGGUGUUAGGUUACAUUCAGAUUCGGAAGGGCCNUAACAAGGUUGGAUUU
rnacentral:rRNA from 1 species